UACGUAGGGUGCAAGCGUUGUCCGGAAUUAUUGGGCGUAAAGAGCUCGUAGGCGGUCUGUUGCGUCGGCUGUGAAAACCCGGGGCUCAACCCCGGGCCUGCAGCCGAUACGGGCAGACUAGAGUUCGGCAGGGGAGACUGGAAUUCCUGGUGUAGCGGUUAAAUGCGCAGAUAUCAGGAGGAACACCGGUGGCGAAGGCGGGUCUCUGGGCCGAUACUGACGCUGAGGAGCGAAAGCGUGGGGAGCGAACAGG
rnacentral:rRNA from 1 species